rnacentral:rRNA from 1 species
UACGAAGGGGGCUAGCGUUGCUCGGAAUGACUGGGCGUAAAGGGCGCGUAGGCGGGCGGUUUAGUCAGGCGUGAAAGUCCUGGGCUUAACCUGGGGACGGCGCUUGAUACGGGAUGCCUAGAGUGGGGAAGAGGGACGGGGAAUUCCCAGUGUAGAGGUGAAAUUCGUAGAUAUUGGGAAGAACACCGGUGGCGAAGGCGGCGACCUGGCCCUUUACUGACGCUGAGGCGCGACAGCGUGGGGAGCAAACAGG